rnacentral:rRNA from 1 species
GCAAGUCUACCGGAAAUUUUCUUCGGAAGAGAUUACGGUGGCGGACGGGUGAGUAACGCGUGAGUAACUUGCCCCAUAGACUGGGAUAACCACUUGAAAAGGUGGCUAAUACCGGAUAAGCUCACAACAUGGCAUCGUGAGGUGAGAAAAAGAUUGCGCUAUGAGAGAGUCUCGCGUCCUAUUAGCUAGUUGGUGAGGUAAUGGCUCACCAAGGCGACGAUAGGUAGCCGGCCUGAGAGGGUGAUC